GCUCUUCUCUUCUAGCUCUACAACGGAAAAAAUAAGCUGCUGAGUCAAACAGGCCACCUGACGCGCCGACUCAACCGAUGAAUUGUCAUCAACGCUGUGUUUAUCCCUUUCAGAGCGAAUUCGGUGACGGACUGAAAGGUUCCCGAAGUGGAGACAAGGGUGAUCUCCUCCGGAAAGCAACGGACAGUUUAGAAAUCGGCACGAGACUACAACGAAGGGCGAGAAGGAUGUUCUAUUCAUGCCGUCGUCUCAUUCUGUAGAUAGACAGAGAAAAGGACCCCUUUGGUAUCAAGCUCCUCUCUCUACCAUUCGGUGGUUCGGGGGGCGACAGAGACUGUUAAAUUCUCUGACACUGGGAGUGAAAACAACGUGACAUUGCGAAGGAAAAACCUGCCUGUUCCUUGCUUUUAGUGGCCCAUCCCUCCCCCUCCGGGUCAUCGAUGGCCAGACAGCGUAUACGGUGAGACGCCUCCUGAGGGUUCGACCACGAGGCAGCGGUUUCCAAUACCUGUUUGAUUGGGAGGGUUUUGGCCCGGAGGAGAGGUGCUGGGUCCAUUCUAAAGACAUCCUGGACCCAGCCCUCAUCGCUGAUUUUCACCGCCGACAUCCCGGUCAGCCAGUUCGUCUUGUAUGUUUCCAAGUCAACCAGUGGUACCGGAGCACCAAGUCUAGGACCAAAAGGCUCCUCAACAGCUUCUACCCCCAAGCCAUUAGACUUUCAACCAGUGUUUUUUUCCCGUACUCCUGUAUUUGCUCUUUUCCCUUUUCUAAUCCUCCUGGUUUUGAACCUUGCUUGUUCUGGAUUCUGUACCCACCUGCCUGACCAUUCUGCCUGCCCUGACCUCGAGCCUGUCUGCCACUAUAUACCUCCUGGACUCUGAUCUGGUUUUGACCUUUUGCCUGUCCACGACCAUUCUCCUGCCUACUCCUUUGGGAUUA